CUGGAAAAAAUGAGGCGAGAAGAGACGGAUUUGCAAAAGCAGAAAGAAAAUGAGAUAGCAGUAACAACUGGCAACCAUAUGUUCAUCUGAUGUAUUUGCAAAUAUUUAAGUUCUAGGCUUCCUCAGGAAAUCUGGAAAGUAUUGGCACUGAUUAGGAAAGCCUUUUUUAUUAUAAUACAUCCAUCACUGUAUGGGAAAGCAGGAAAGGAUCUGCCAAUGAAACGAAAUAGUUUUCUGGAAAUAAAUAACAUCUACAGACAAUUGAAACUAUUGACUAUAGAAUGACGCAGUUGUUUCAAGAUUCCAUAGGUAAUCUGGAAUGGAGGCAUGGAGGUGGAAGUUCUGGACUCUUCUUCUCAAUGUCUAGCUAACCUGGUCAGAGGCUUGCCAGAAGGGGCCCCGAUAAAAGGAAGCUACACCCAAGAUAUGAGACAAGAAUAUGGGACAGUUAGCUUUGAUCUCUGAAUGUGUUGUGUAUUGGUUUCAGUGCCCAUCUCAUAGAAAUAAAAUACUGCUUUAUUCUGCA
ensembl:lncRNA DDIT4L-AS1 DDIT4L antisense RNA 1